UUUGUAUCUUAAACUGUCGUUCCAUAUAAUACCCAUAUGUACAUAUAUUUAUAAAUCUGUGUAUUUUCUUUCAUGUGCUGCCAAAUAGUAGAUCAUGGAGUAUUUAACGACCUAGGACUAAGUGACUCUUGACGCUUUGAAAUACCCGAAAUUAUGAUUGAAAUAUAACUCUACUUAAAAUUAUAAAAAGAAAGGCUUCUUGAAGAGAAUGACUUGAAAGACUGACCUCCAAUCACUGAAGGAAGAGCCUGAAAAUAUCGACUCGAAUAAACCAAAGUGUGGAAUCUCAGUAAGGAUAUCUGCCAGAUCAAAAAGACUUGUUCAUAGUUGCAC